GAUGAACGCUGGCGGCGUGCCUAAUACAUGCAAGUCGAGCGAACAGACGAGGAGCUUGCUCCUCUGACGUUAGCGGCGGACGGGUGAGUAACACGUGGAUAACCUACCUAUAAGACUGGGAUAACUUCGGGAAACCGGAGCUAAUACCGGAUAAUAUAUUGAACCGCAUGGUUCAAUAGUGAAAGACGGUUUUGCUGUCACUUAUAGAUGGAUCCGCGCCGCAUUAGCUAGUUGGUAAGGUAACGGCUUACCAAGGCAACGAUGCGUAGCCGACCUGAGAGGGUGAUCGCCCACACUAGAACGGAGACACGGUCCAGACUCCUACGGGAGGCAGCAGUAGGGAAUCUUCCGCAAUGGGCGAAAGCCUGACGGAGCAACGCCGCGUGAGUGAUGAAGGUCUUCGGAUCGUAAAACUCUGUUAUUAGGGAAGAACAAAUGUGUAAGUAACUAUGCACGUCUUGACGGUACCUAAUCAGAAAGCCACGGCUAACUACGUG
rnacentral:rRNA from 1 species